GCCACCUCCCCGGGGCACCAAGGAGCCUUUGUCUCUUUCUCCCAGGGCUCUGGGCGCAGGCCGACCUUCCUCCUAACACCGAUUUGUAAUAUCAUGGAUUUUGGAGCUGGGAUCCAGCUUUUAGUCUUUUAAUGGGUCUUACCAAAGAGAAAGAGAGAGAGGUCAUUCCGGACUCCUGCCGCCGCCAGUCCCUCGGUGAGACGUGAGCGCCAUUGGCGUCCGUGGCCUCUGUUUCCGUGGCAACCCAGUAACCAUUAAUUUUCAAUUAAAGGAGACAAAAAGCUCCAUGACAGCUCCAGGUCUGCUGAAGAUGUCAAGAAUCUGUAUUAAUAUACAGCAAGAGAGCAUAAUUGUGUGUCCAUCUUCCAGAGCAGGGAAAAAUGGAGGGAUAAUUACCAGCUCGAAAGCCACUCUGUAAUUUACUUCUUACUGUCACCACAGCCCUACACAUUAGCAUAAAUUAAAAGCAGAGUUUAUUGUUA